GGCAAGUUGUAAUCGGGAUGGAUGUUAUCUCAGGUUGUAAUUAAUUUAUUUAGAUGUAUGGGAUACUUUCUAUCUACACACCUUUGUAGUCUUGGUAAAUAUCGAAUAGUUAAGAUAAGAAAAAAAAACGAUAUCCUGUUAUAAGUGCAAAUAUUUAGAAAACACGAUGCUGGGAAAGGAACUACCGGUAGAACGAAGAGUCAUUUGAUUAAUAUGUGAUCAGUGUAUGAAGCCAUUCUCUAAACAUACGAAGCAAAUGUACGACUGAAUGAUGAAGACCUGUAUUAACCCUCUAGAUUCGACGCUCGAGGAUCCGACGAGCCGCUGACUGCGAAAUGUUCCACAUUCAGUAACGAAAGAUGCUAUGCAGGUGAAGGUGAGUUAUCUCUCGGCAGUUUGAUGACAAGUGUCCCUUCAUCAUACGUAGCCAGAAGAAACACCAGAAAGAAAUAUACACACCUGAUGGAUGAUGCUAGACAGAAGCAUAAAGUCAGCCAUUCAUUAUGAAGAAAAUUUUCAUCUGUGAGAAAGCUUAUGUUGACACAGUAGAGGAAUACGAUAUCAAGUUUGAAGACUUUGAAUAUAACUUCAGGAAGGAAAGUGCAUUUGUUAGAGAAGAAGACUGUACUUCAGUUUAGUUCUUCAUGUUUUUGGCCUCAGCAGACCUCUUGAGGUAACACACGAGAAAGACCCUCUGAAUGUUCAGUAUGUACAUGGUCAUUUAAAACAAGUGAGAAGCAAUUUAGGUGUAAUGUGUGACAGAACAUUUUCAUCAUUUGAAUGGUCAGGUCAACACAUAUAACUUAAGCAGACCAUAUAAAUUCCAGAUAUGUUUGAAGGCUUUUCAAUUCCAUGUCAAUCAGAGCAGAAACAAAAGAAUUCAGAAGAAAGAUAGAUGAUUCAAGUGUGAUAUUUGUAGCUCAGUGUUUUGUAAGGGUCCAGAGAUUUAAGGUUCAUUGUUAGAGCCACACGUAUGAGAAGCCCAUUUGCUGUGCUCUAUGAAACUUUAAUGACAAAAACAGUUUGAGAAAGCAUGGGACUUCCAAGUUUCCAAAUUUUGAAGUUUAAGUUAUUUUCUCAUACCUGUUGUGAAAAGAUGAUAUGGGAACAAUAGUUUUGAAGGUAUAUGUUUUUGUCAUCUCAUUUUUUGCAUAUUAGCAAACAUUUGUUUGAAUGUUAUAGAUUUUUAUCUUACAUAUUUUUAUAUUGUUUUUUAUACAAAUAUUAUAGCCUAUAUUAUCAAUGUUGUUAAAAAUUAAUUUUGUUUGUGAUAAUAAUACAUCUUAAAGAUGAAGAUAUCAAUGUUGAGGAUGUUGAAAAAAAUA